rnacentral:tRNA from 1 species
GCUCGGUUAGCAUAAAAGUAAUGCAACCGUUUUGUAAUCGGUAGAAGUAAGUGCGAUACUUGCACUGAGCU